rnacentral:lncRNA from 1 species
CCGGGUGUUUUCUUCAGCAAAGGUUAUAGAUCCUUCAGCUCUUUGCCACUUGAGUGGUCUGGCCGAUCCACCGAUUGCUCCCUUCCAGGGCUCUCCAGAGAUGGUGUUGAUGAUCAUUUGAGAGAAAGGAGGGUCAGUACAGAUGUCCUUACCAUAAUCGGGGGGAGCGUGGCAGAGCUCUUUGAUCCACCGAUUCAUCUCUUGGAGCCUUCGAUCCAGGAGAUCCUCUCGACUGUGAGUCUUGAGGGUCUUUCGGUCGAGUGGAGGUAGGGAUCCUCCG